AGUUCUCAACCAUGUCUUGAUUGAUUUCAAGGCCAUGGCUUGGAGGUUGGGGGUUGCUGGCGGCGAUCUGGCUGUUGGCUCUCCUGAAAUGCAUUAGCAAAAGGGCGUGAAUGUCUUUCGGUGUGCACGGCCUUUGACGUGAUAAUGAUCGUCGUGGCUGGAGUGCCUGGAUGUUGACGGGGGAUCACCCCUUCCCUUGUGCUUCUAAUCCGUAUGCUAGUCAGUUUCUGGCUAGCUUUCUUGCG
rnacentral:misc_RNA from 1 species